UGGCUUACCAUCAUGAGCCAUUUGAUCCGCUCUCAUUAUUUGCCUUGUAAGUGGCUUUUCAACGAAGGUAGCACUACAAGCCAUUUAUCAAGUGGCUUUUACCGGUAGCUACUUGAGUUACAGAGCAGAGUUCAGAACUUUUCAGCUUUUUGGAUUCAGACUAGAUUCACCAAAGUCAAUGGAACUUAAGCUUGAACGAGGAACACGCCGUCCUGUCUCAUGCUGCAAAUGCGUACCAGAUCAAACUGGUUUUGUAAAUCAGGCCUAGGUGUCAAAACAAAGCUGAAAUAGUCACCAUGACAUCCGAUCGACAAUAACAAAAGGGGAAGAAGAAGAAGAAGAAGAAGUGCUAGAAUAUCCCAAUUUGUUUCACAAGAACCCUGUGAAGAUUGAGUCAGGCUGAGUUUUAUGACUUGAAGAGUCCUUUCUGAUUCAGCACAAACCACUGUAAAC